AUUGAACGCUGGCGGAAUGCUUUACACAUGCAAGUCGAACGGCAGCACGGGGGCAACCCUGGUGGCGAGUGGCGAACGGGUGAGUAAUACAUCGGAACGUGCCCAAUCGUGGGGGAUAACUACGCGAAAGCGUAGCUAAUACCGCAUACGAUCUACGGAUGAAAGCGGGGGAUCGCAAGACCUCGCGCGAAUGGAGCGGCCGAUGGCAGAUUAGGUAGUUGGGGGGUAAAGGCUCACCAAGCCUGCGAUCUGUAGCUGGUCUGAGAGGACGACCAGCCACACUGGGACUGAGACACGGCCCAGACUCCUACGGGAGGCAGCAGUGGGGAAUUUUGGACAAUGGGCGCAAGCCUGAUCCAGCCAUUCCGCGUGCAGGAUGAAGGCCC
rnacentral:rRNA from 1 species